rnacentral:rRNA from 1 species
UGAGAGGGUGAUCCCCCACACUGGUACUGAGACACGGACCAGACUCCUACGGGAGGCAGCAGUGAGGAAUAUUGGUCAAUGGGCGGAAGCCUGAACCAGCCAUCCCGCGUGAAGGAAGAAUGCGCUACGCGUUGUAAACUUCUUUUCCAGGGGGAGAAUAAUCCUGUCGUGACAGGACUUGACGGUACUCUGGGAAUAAGCAUCGGCUAACUCCGUGCCAGCAGCCGCGGUAAUACGGAGGAUGCGAGCGUUAUCCGGAUUUAUUGGGUUUAAAGGGUGCGUAGGCGGGUUAAUAAGUCAGUGGUGAAAACCUACAGCUUAACUGUAGACUUGCCGUUGAUACUGUUAGUCUUGAGUGUGGUCAAGGUAGGCGGAAUGUGUAAUGUAGCGGUGAAAUGCUUAGAUAUUACACAGAACACCGAUUGCGAAGGCAGCUUACUGGGCCAUUACUGACGCUGAUGCACGAAAGCGUGGGGAUCAAACAGGAUUAGAUACCCUGGUAGUCCACGCCGUAAACGAUGAUCACUCGCUGUUGGCGAUAUACAGUCAGUGGCUAAGCAAAAGCAUUAAGUGAUCCACCUGGGGAGUACGGCCGCAAGGCUGAAACUCAAAGGAAUUGACGGGGGCCCGCACAAGCGGAGGAACAUGUGGUUUAAUUCGAUGAUACGCGAGGAACCUUACCUGGGCUUAAAUGUAGAGUGCAUUUUCUAGAGAUAGAAAUUCCCUUCGGGGCUUUCUGCAAGGUGCUGCAUGGUUGUCGUCAGCUCGUGCCGUGAGGUGUCGGGUUAAGUCCCAUAACGAGCGCAACCCUUAUCGUUAGUUGCCAGCGGGUCAAGCCGGGAACUCUAGCGAAACUGCCGGUGUAAACCGAGAGGAAGGUGGGGAUGACGUCAAAUCAGCACGGCCCUUAUGUCCAGGGCUACACACGUGUUACAAUGGCCGGUACAGAGGGCAGCUAUGCUGUGAGGCAGUGCGAAUCUCGAAAGCCGGUCUCAGUUCGGAUCGGAGUCUGCAACUCGACUCCGUGAAGCUGGAUUCGCUAGUAAUCGCGCAUCAGCCAUGGCG